UACGUAGGUGACCAGCGUUGUCCGGAUUUACUGGGCGUAAAGGGCUCGUAGGUGGCCAACUAAGUCAGACGUGAAAUCCCUCGGCUUAACCGGGGAACUGCGUCUGAUACUGGAUGGCUUGAGUUCGGGAGAGGGAUGCGGAAUUCCAGGUGUAGCGGUGAAAUGCGUAGAUAUCUGGAGGAACACCGGUGGCGAAGGCGGCAUCCUGGACCGACACUGACGCUGAGGAGCGAAAGCCAGGGGAGCAAACGGG
rnacentral:rRNA from 1 species